UACAGAGGGCGCGAGCGUUGUCCGGAAUCACUGGGCGUAAAGGGCGCGUAGGUGGCCACCAUAAGGCCGCGGUGAAAGUUCGGGGCUCAACCCCGAACUCGGCCGCGGCGACUGUGGGGCUCGGGUACUGUAGAGGCAGAUGGAAUUCCGGGUGUAGCGGUGGAAUGCGUAGAGAUCCGGAAGAACACCAGUGGCGAAGGCGGCUCACUGGACCGGUUCUGACGCUGAGGCGCGAAAGCGUGGGGAGCAA
rnacentral:rRNA from 1 species